rnacentral:rRNA from 1 species
AUUGAACGCUGGCGGCAGACCUAACACAUGCAAGUCGAGCGGAUGAAGGGAGCUUGCUCCUGGAUUCAGCGGCGGGCGGGUGAGUAAUGCCUAGGAAUCUGCCUGGUAGUGGGGGAUAACGUCCGGAAACGGGCGCUAAUACCGCAUACGUCCUGAGGGAGAAAGUGGGGGAUCUUCGGACCUCACGCUAUCAGAUGAGCCUAGGUCGGAUUAGCUAGUUGGUGGGGUAAAGGCCUACCAAGGCGACGAUCCGUAACUGGUCUGAGAGGAUGAUCAGUCACACUGGAACUGAGACACGGUCCAGACUCCUACGGGAGGCAGCAGUGGGGAAUAUUGGACAAUGGGCGAAAGCCUGAUCCAGCCAUGCCGCGUGUGUGAAGAAGGUCUUCGGAUUGUAAAGCACUUUAAGUUGGGAGGAAGGGCAGUAAGUUAAUACCUUGCUGUUUUGACGUUACCAACAGAAUAAGCACCGGCUAACUUCGUG